rnacentral:tRNA from 1 species
AUCUCAGUUGGUAGAGCAUAAGACUCUUAAUCUCAGGGCGUGGGUUCGAGCCCCAC